UGAAGGUGAAGAUGACGAAGAUAAGUACACUGCACCACUGUACCACGAGCAGCUAGCGUCAGCACGAGAGGAGACAGAGAAGAAAGAAGCAGCAGCAGCCAUUAGCCACACUACGGUGUAUUCUAUUAUCGCUGUUCAUGACCUCAAAGGAAGCACACACGCCCUAUGGUGUGCCACAGGCUGCCCAAGCAGCAAUGCGCGGUAACGCUGGGAUGGCCGUCCAUGGUAACCACGUUCAAGCUGAAGGACCAGCGAGCAACGCACCAGCCCAGCCGGCUGCCUACCCGGGUCAAGGAUACGGCCAAGGAUACGGAUACUACGGCCAACCAUACGCAUAUGGUCAAGGACAGUACGUACAGGGACCGGUUGGACAAGGACAAUUCGGUCAAGGGCCCGAGUUAGGGGCGUAUGGACUUGGAGCCGUGGCAGUGGGAGGUGUGGCAGUUGGCGCAAUGGAAGGAGUAGCAAUGGGUGUUGCAGCCGAUGAAGUAUUAGGGGACGAUGAUGAUUCGGAGGUCGUGCCCAUUCACGCGAGACCUGGGACGACGGAAAGUGUGUACAGUGGGACAGUGUGGACCACGGCCAGUGUGAACAAUGCAACAACGGAGUCGAGUACGACGACGCCACAGUCUGCAGGUUGACGUGAAGGGUAAUAACUAUUGCCUGAUCAAUGUCUCAGUGCUAGAUCGUAUGGGGCCGUCAGAGUGGAUUUGAAUGUGAAAUGCAACUAUGGGACCCGUUUUAAGACGAGCAAGUUCGAUUUGUGAGAAGUAUAAAUUCCAAAGAGAUAUGACGCUAUAUUGGGAUAUGCUGUUUGGAUACCAAAACUGGUGAUCCCAAUAAAUGUUGUCUUACCUUCUGGUCAUGUA